UAAAAUUUGUAAACCCUCAAGGCAGGAAAA
rnacentral:piRNA from 1 species